AACGCGAAGAACCUUACCUGGGCUUGAACCGCACAGGACCAUCUUUAGAAAUAGAGACUUCCCGCAAGGGACCUGUGUAGAGGUGCUGCAUGGCUGUCGUCAGCUCGUGCCGUGAGGUGUUUGGUUAAGUCCAGCAACGAGCGCAACCCUUAUCAUUAGUUGCCAACAUUUAAGGUGGGGACUCUAAUGAGACUGCCUGGGUUAACCAGGAGGAAGGUGAGGAUGACGUCAAGUCCGCAUGGCCUUUAUGUCUGGGGCUACACACGUGCUACAAUGGUCGGUACAGAAGGCAGCAAGACCGCAAGGUGGAGCAAAUCCGAAAAGCCGAUCACAGUUCAGAUUGUAGUCUGCAACUCGACUACAUGAAGUUGGAAUUGCUAGUAAUGACGAGUCAGCAACAUCGUCGUGAAUACGUUCCCGGGCCUUGUACACACCGCUAGUC
rnacentral:rRNA from 1 species